CAUUACUACGCUGGACGAUUCGGGGUGAUGAGGCCGAAGGCCACUUCACCAAUAAUGCACACGCUGCAUCCGCGAGCACUCAUAGCACCCAUGAUCCCGCUUAGAGAGAUAUAGCAUGAAGCCACACAAUCAUCCAAGGGGUCAUGGGCACCACUGUUCAGCCACUCCCGUACCGCAUUACACGGAGGGAGGGGAGAGAGAGCAUGGCACCGAGUCACAUUUCACGAGAGACAAUGUAGGCAGCACAGGCAAAACUUGUGGCACCAAUACCAUCAUUGGGCCAUUAUAUUGAGGGGUUGCAGCAACAACGGUUUGGUGCACAAGGCACGGAGCCCGCCGAUAGAUGCAAAUAUCAUGCAACUUAUGUGCCGACACGGUCAUUCCACUGUACAUCGCCCCAUCGCCCACAUGCAUGCCCAUCCAUCCAGAAGACGGUGGCAAGGGGGUCAAAUGAGGCAGUCAACGGUAGAACUCCGCCGAGCACA
rnacentral:misc_RNA from 1 species